rnacentral:lncRNA from 1 species
CUCUUAGAACCUGUCUUCAUCAACAUCUUGCAGAUACUGACAGGGCCCUUCUUACUGAGCAUAGUCCUGUCCUCGCUUCCUCCUAGGAAUGCCUAGAUGACACUUCACUCUGAUGGCAACGUUUACUGAAAGGAUAACAAAUCAUAUAAGAGAGAGGUGGUAGAAGACACUCAAUGAAGCAGAGACUUGCUCACCUAAGCAUGCCCUGCUUCCUUCCCAGGUUGUUUUCUGACAAACCACACAGAGCUAGGAGUUCUGUCUCUUUCCCCAACAGUGAUCACACAUGAUAGUGCACAACCUCAUCAGACACAGCUGUGUGCUUGACAACCUCACCCUUGUUCUUCUGGCAUACUGACAGACAGGUGUGUCCCAGGAUCCUUCAGUGUAGGGUGUGUCACAUGCCCAUGCUCAGGCCAAUGAAUGGCAGGGUCGUGACACAGAGAUCUUUCUGGUCUGAUGCAGGAGAAUCAUAUGUAUUUCUUGGUGAUUUUUCCUCCCAUCUGUUAGAUGAACUGCAAUGACUUCAGUGACCAGGAGAAUAACAUAAUGUGGAAGGAGACUGCCUCUCCCAAGUCUUCCACUGGAGGAGAUUCUAGGAGUUUUGAAGAAGCCCCCAUAUUUGAAGGCCAAAGGAACAAGAAAUAAGUUUUGCUUAUUAGAAAUACAUUUUUGUCUAUUACAGCAACUACACUACCCCAACUAAAUACUCUAGCCUUGGUAAAGUAUUGUCCAAAAGCUCCAUCACAAUAUCUUAGCCAUAUAAAUAUUUUAAAAGAUGGUGGGCAGCAUUGAAAAGAUAAAUGAAAUAUACAUAAACUCUUACUUCUGGAAGGGCUACUGAAGCCAUGAGUGUUAAGUCUAACACAACAGCAGAUAACCACCCAUGCUUAGACUCACCAGUAUACGAGGAAGGCAGCAGUUUUGGUUCCCUAAUACACAGGCUUUGCUCUGCCUGUAUAAGAUAUGAUGUGUCUAGAGAGAACCAUACUGUGGCAAAUGUAGACAGUAACAAAGAGAAAUGAAGGGGGGGAGCAUUUUAAAGGAAUCACCUAAACACCAACAAUUAAAGUUAGAAAAUUGUUCUCAGAAAGGGAGAGGAGGUACAGAACAGGAGAAGGAAAUCUCUUCAAUAUCUUAGGAUAGAGUUAAAGGAGACUAUGAAAGAAGAUUUACAAUUACAGUUUUUAAGGUACCCAAAUAAGCCUUAGGGAUUCCACUGCCUCACAUUUAACUGUACAGUUAAGAAAUUUCAAUCAAGAUACUAAUUAGGAAUUUUUUAAUGACAUGUUAAAUUCAAAGAUCAUUGGGAUAAAUUAAUAAGCAGAAGAACCUAUAAAAAUCUAUCUGAUGGAGGAAUUUUUUAAUAAAGAACUCCAGUUGAUAGGUGCAACGGUGAGGUUACUGACUCUUCUAUCUGCUAUUCGAAUGCAAUCAUUAAAGAGAUUGUAACAUGGGUGAAAUAAGUGAAUUCAGGAAUGAAACAGACUACAGAGCCCCAAAUAAAAUAAGAUACACAGGAGAAUACGUAGUGUAUCAUACAAGUAAUAUUUCCAAUUAAGAUAAAACAGAUGACUGAGAUAACUGGAUAUCUACAUUUUUGCUAGUUACCUACGUACAUUUUAUUUUAAAAUUACAUGAAAUAUUUAAAAUUUUGGAAUAAGAUCUUGAGAGUCAUAUGCCAAAUGCUACAGGAAAAUAUUAAUAAAUUUGGUUACUGUCAUGGCGAGUUUUAAUUGUCAGGUCAAUACAACUUAGAACCAUCAGGGAAGAACAUCUCAAGGAAGGACUGACUAGAUUAGGUUGGCCUGUCGGCACAUCCAUCGUGGGCUGUGUUCAUUUCGUUGAAUGAUAUGGGAAGAUUCUGCCCCAAAGAAGCUGUACCAUUCCCUGGGUUUGAUCCUAUUCUGCAUCAUCAUUAAAAAAAAAAACUCAAACAAGUGAGAUGAAGAA